AAAACCAGUACCGAUUUAGCAUUGUAUAUUUGUGGAAUUAUUUUUGUAAUUUGAUUCAAAUUGAUUCUGCUAAUAUGCAGUUAUAUUUUGGUGCAAAUGAAAU